rnacentral:tRNA from 1 species
CGGGACGUGGCUCAGUCUGGUAGAGCACGUCGUUCGGGACGACGGGGUCGGAGGUUCUAAUCCUCUCGUCCCGACCA